rnacentral:lncRNA from 1 species
CCUUCACAUAGUAAUCACUUGUUAAAUCGUUUCAGUAAUGUCUGACUCUUCAUGGUCCUGUGUGGAGUUUCUUUUGGCAAAGAUAAUAGAGUGGUUUACCAUUUCCUUCUCCCAAUCGUUUUACAAAUAAGGAACUGAGGCAAAAAUGGUUAAGUCAUUUGUCAAGGGUCUCAGCUAGUAAAGAGUCAGGCUGGAUUUGAAUUCAUGAAGAGUCUUCCUGAUUCUGAACCCAGUGCUGAACCCACCAUACCACCUACUUACUUAAGUGAUUAAGAAAUCACUUAGUAAACUGACUGACUGAAAGGAUAAGAGUUAAGAAUGACUAUGAGGUUCCAAAUCCGGCAUUGUUAAAGGAACUUGGAACACUCAAUAGCAAAAGGGAAGCAUCAGUAAGGGCUAAGUUAUGUGGGUUAACCUGGAUCAGAAAUAAUAAAUAAUAUUUUGGACAUAUUGAAUUGAAGAUGACUAUGGAACUUUAAUAGAUAGUUGAUGAUGUGAGGCUUUACUCAGGAGAAAGAUCAGAAUUUGAAGAGGAAGGCAUUGUUAUUACAAUGAUAAAUGAACUCAUUCUAGGUGGUUUUUAAACUGGGCUUGAAGUCAGAGAAACUAAUGAAAGAAGUGAAGGGAGAGAUUAUUCCAGGCAUGGAGAAGAGCCAGUACAAAGAAAUAUACUACAUUUAGAAAAUGAUAAAUUCAGUAGUCAUACUUCUCAACAAGAGAUUAAACAUUUUGCUUUGGAAGGAGAUUUUGACAUUUGGAAACAUCAGAGGGAUUAACAGAGUGAUAUGGAAGAAGAGUGCAGUGAGACCCAGAAAGAAGAAUUUAGUAUUUCAGAGAAGACAUAGUAGAGUAAAGUCAAAUGAAGAAAACUUGUCAUACCUUUCAUUUUAACUCUUUCUGGUCCAAUCUGCAUGUUACAUUCUCAUCAUAUUCUAAGCGACUUCGUGUAGCUGCACUUACAAGGGAUGGAUGUUUGAAUGGGGAAUUAGAGUUUAUGAAGAAUGUUGAACUCUUUAUAGAGAAAGAGUGCUGCUUUCCCAGGGCCCCAAGACAGUUACCAUCAGUUUUGCCAAUCACACAUCCUGCAGAUGCAUGUCCAAAAUGGGUGUUUAGAGACAAGUUAAUUCAAUCAUUAGACAUUUCACACCAGCAACAUUGUCACAAGAUGAGAUAAUUACAAGGGAUUCAUGAUGACAAAGACUCUCCACCAUCACAGAAGGAAAUGAUGGAGUCUGAAUGAAGAUUAAAGUAUAACAUUCAUCAUUUUAUUUAACUGAGAAUUUUUUCUAGCAUAAGCAAUUUGUGUCUUCUUUCAUAUGACAAACAAGGAAAUAUUUAUUGUAUGAUAACAUGGGUACAAUCUAUAUUGCACUACCUGCUGUCUUGAGGAGUACAGAGAGAUGAAAGGAAGGGAGAGAAAAGAACAUGGAUUACAAAAUGUCAGAAAACUAACUAUUGUUGAAAAUUAUAUUUAUAUUAUGUGGAAAAGCUUAGUUAAUUAAUUUUAAAAUAAAUUUAUAAUGUUAUUCCUCA